GCCCCCGUGGUGAAAUGGAUAUCACGUAUAGCUUCGGACUAUAUGUUCCGGGUUCGAGUCCUGGCGGGGGCA
rnacentral:tRNA from 1 species